ensembl:snRNA U1 U1 spliceosomal RNA
UGACUUACCUAGCAGGGGAGAUACCGUGAUCAAGAAGGCGGAUCACCCAGGGUGAGGCUCAGCCAUUGCACUUCGGCUGUGCUGACCCCUGCAUAUUCCCCAAAUGUGGGAAUCUCGACUGUAUGGGGC